GGCAGGGUAAAAAUAGACUACAGUAAAGCACACCUCCCUGAUUAAAUACGGUGAUGCCCUCUAAACUGGCAGCUAUUGUGUCAGAGAGACAACCUGUUUUGUUCAAGACCGCUGGAAUAUGGCUGAAGACUGCUACUAUCAAUGGGUAGGUCUGACAGUCUUAUCUGUGGCCUUGUUUGCCUCUUUUUGCCUAAAUAUCAUCUUUCUCAUCAGCCGAACAGCCACACGUAGAAGAGACACAGAGGAGACCUGCAACCCACACAUUUCUGAACGAGAAACCCUCUCACAGCAUGGAGGGCAUUAUUUCCAUGACCUCAAUCACCAAGAGCAGGAGGAAAAUCCCCACAACCAUCAUGAGCAACAGGAAAAUCCAAUCUAUGGCAACAUCAUCACAGAGAGAGGAGGCGCGGCAGAGAGCUGCUAUGAAAUGAUGACCAUGCAACGCACAAGAGAAUGUAGGAAGGCUUUAGACCCUGACCUGAAUUAUGCCUCGCUGGAUCUGAAGGUUGCAAACAGACGCAAGAACAGACUUCGCCAUCAGCAAGGCCAGACGCAGGGGCGAAACACAUUUCAGGAUCAGCUGCCAGCUCAUCUCACGCCUCCUGCACACACUUUCUUUGAGGUGGACGCCAACGUGGAUGCUCACCUUCCUCCCAGAGACACCAGCAACAUGGUUUCACACAGCAGUAUCUACCUAAACAGUCAGCAGAUAGCCCAAGAGGCAGAGGAAAGAGAAAAGAGCAUAAACACGGAGAGGGAAAACACAGGUUGGGAUGACAUAGGAAGGCAUGAGGAUGGGGAAAGCAAAGAAUGGAAAGGAGAAAAAGAAAGUGAGGAAAGAAAAGAUGGUUGUGAUGAAAACGCAUGUACACAGCGUGCGGAUAUAGAAACUAUUCAGGACAGCGCAGAUCAUUUCACCAGCAGCUUGAGUCAUGACAGUGACCAAGAAGUUUGCUUUUCUGAAAUGUAGACCACCAGAAUAAGUAUGAUAAACUAUUGUCUAGGACUGCGUCUUUAAGAACUCAAACUGUCAUUGUCAACAACCUGUGAGCUUUGCAGAGUUGAGCAAUUUCCUUUAGACUGAGAUAAACUACCUUUUGAACUGUCCUGAUUGAGCAACUGAGGAACAAAAGAGUACCUUUCUGUGCAGAGGAUGUAAAGAAAAGGAAAAUCUGUGUGUGACAUUUAGAUGUCAAGGGCUAUGUGGAAAGUUUUUAAUUUAUUGUGAAACACAAGCAAAAACUUUAAAUCAUAACAGGACAUGGAAGAUAUUUCACACUUGAUGUCUCAUAAAAAAAAAGGUGAGAGAAGACAAUAAUUUGUUUUCCAUGAUGUAAGCCAUGGUUGAGCCUCGAGAGGCAAGUCACUAUUAAAUAAAGGUACCUGCUGUGAACA
rnacentral:lncRNA from 1 species